GUCAGCGACCCCACAGGUGAACCUGGGGGCUUGCCCGAAACCGCCUCGUGCGGUCUGGGACAAGCCCCGAUGCUGACCAGCCCCCGUGGUGUUCGCACCGCGGAGCCGUUGUCUGGAGGUGCCUCCGUUCGGACCAUUCGGUGGCUUUUCCAGCCGUAUGCUCUUCA
rnacentral:sRNA from 21 species